UUAGAACACAUGAAUUUGAUCGUUUGAUGAAAUAAGUCUUAAAUAAAUGAUGAGUGCAACAUGGUACCGACUGUCAAAUUUUAGGUGUCCGGUAAGCGGAUGCCGGGGUUCGCAACAAUCAUCAAAUUGGGUAUGCGCUAAAGAUGGAACUGACAUUUACAUUGCCCAAACUGGUUAUUUAAGGUGCAGUCAUUUAGAGCAAGGAAAAUAUAGUCAUUGUGCUCCAAUUUGCAACUGGAGCUUCGACUGUGGGAACCAUGGCAACCAUCCAGUUCACAGAUACAUAAAGGCAGAUCUACAAGGUUUUUCCUUUGCUUUAUCUCAUGCUUUGCAAUUACUUACUGCAGCAGGACCAACUUGGUGUGCUGCCUUAAUAGUAGAACUGUGAAAACAAUACAACAAAUCAUGAAGGUCUACAAUGCAUACCUCCAACUGACCUUGACUGGAUGUUCACACUGUUGUUUGAUUAUUUUAUUUAUUUUUUUAAAUUAUUAUUUUCAUUAACAUUUAUCUUCCUUUUUUGGACUUUGUUUCUUUUAUUUUCAAUAUAUAUUUCUUAUACAAAGUUCUAAUACCAAUUUUAUUCUUUGUCUUUGGCAACAACAAUGUAUUUGCGAAGCAAGUCGAUGUUUGGCGGCUUUUUCUACCAAUCAAGACAUAUCUGUUAAUAGAGUAUUCCGAUCUACAUUAUUAUAGCAUAAGAUAUCUGUUGUUUUUAUUUUCGUUCUUAUUGUUCCUUAAUUGAAUUACCUUCACGGAGAUUGACAACAAUUUAAAUUACAUCAUAUGUAAAAAUACAAACUAUGAUACCUAUAAUAUAACCCUUGUGCGGUAUCAUUUUUGUAAAGCUAAAACCAAAAAUGCAGAACAAAAACUUACUAUAAACAUAAAAGGCAGUCCAAAAUAAAAGAGGAAAAUCCAUGAAUGUCUUUUUCAGAGGUAAACGUUUGCAGUAAUUGUAAAAAAAAACCCUAAUUUUUCAAUUUCGUAUGCUAGUAUUCUGCUUUUCUUUGGUAUUUUCUGUAGAAAAUCGGUAGUGGAAGAAAUUUCUUCUCUGGUAAAUGGAAUAAAUUGACAAAAAUACACCAUUUACAUGACAAUUUUAUUGGGUAUAUAUGUUAAAAUCACUUUUCAAAUUUUACACAAUUGGAUGCAAGAAAUUACAUGUUUUACGGAAUUGUUGAUGUUUUACCAGUUCAGGAAUCUGUACGCUUUUUUCAACAAGAAGAUGGCAAUGUAGUCGUAGCCUUACUUGGUGGAAUUACAGAUUUUAUGCAAUCCGUGGACUCUGACAACUGGAGAAACAUGAUGUGCUGCUUGGCAGAUCAUACAUUGUAUAUUUUAUCUGUACGAAAAAUUUAAAGUCGAAUUAUCUCAGCAUAGAUUUAAUUUUGGAAACUAAAAUAUUUGCCAUCAAGCAAAUGUAGCAUUAAGAUAUAUAUGUAUAUGUAAAAAAAAUGUGCUUUAAUUGUA